rnacentral:misc_RNA from 1 species
CUUGCAGUAAGCAAAAUCUUCUUGAAUAUGAAUAUCACAGUUGGUGUUUGCAUAACUGAUUUCUCUAUUCAGAUUCAGUUACCAGAUACUGGCAUGCCAGAUCAAAGAUAGUUUCAGAUUUUCAGUUACAUUUCCUAAUUAAAAUUAGGGUUUCAGUAAAUUAGGGAUUCAGUCAUGGUUACCUGACCAUGAUUCUACAGCAAUCAAAGCUUCCCCAUUACGGGGAAUAUUGCACUAAAAUCUAAGAACGAUAGCUAUGGAAGUACAAGACAUGCAGAUGAUUAAAUGGCUUUUAUCAGUUUCAUGUACUUGCUCUGCCAGAGUCUUGUGAUGGAGACCUGGGUACACUGAAGCUGGAGUAGCUUCCUACCUUUGAUGUUGGCCUGUGAGUCUUGACCAAUGGGACCAGUGACUGCACAACAUCUGCCAUUAGCGGUCUGUAAUCAGCCUCUGGUUGUACACACAUAGCAGCAAUUGCCGCCACCUGAAUAACCUCUUUCAUUGAGUAUUGACUCUCCAAUGCGGGAUCCAUAAUUUGCACGACCUUCUCUCUAUCUGUCAACCAGGGCAGCACCCAAUUCACAAGAACACCUUCCCCAGGAGGUCUCUUCAUAUCUACUGGAACUCUGCCAGUAAGCAACUCCAACAGAACCACCCCAUAACUAUAGACAUCUGAUUUUGUUGUCAAAUGCCCAGUUAAUGCAUACUCAGGGGCAAUAUAUCCCUGGGUGCCCAACACUCGAGUUGAGACAUGUCCACCAGCUUUGUCAGGCCCAAUCUUUGCCAAUCCAAAAUCAGAAACUUUGGCAUGGAAAUUUUUGUCCAAGAGGAUGUUGCUGCUCUUGAAAUCUCUGUGAAUCACUGGAGGACUGACAUGUUCAUGCAAAUAUUCCAAGCCCUUGGCAGCUUCAAGGGCAAUUCGCAACCGUGUUUCCCAGUCCAAUCUCAAGUUCACAUCAUUAUGACAAUUUAUAGGAUACAAAUGUUCUUGUAAUCCACCAUUUGCCAUGAACUCGUAAACCAGCAAUUUAUGAUUGUUAUCCGAACAAUACCCAAGCAAUGCCAGUAAAUAUGGAGAAUGUAGGCGGCUCAGCAAUUCCACCUGUGAAAAAACAGUCUACCAAUUUCAGAGCUAUUGGGUACAAUCUGCUAUACAAGAACAAAGAUGAGAGUUGGACAAGGAAUAGGCAGAAAUUUGAUUCCUUCUUAUGCCAACCUCAUGCCCACAAAAACAUGUGCACACAUGCUCAUGCGCAUGUGUGCACUCAUUGAUACUUGUAUGCUUAUGCACAUGUGGACACAUUUCCUCUUUACUUUCUAGAGAAUGAAAAGGAUGAGCUAAACAAAUCCUGAAAAAUUAUUUGGAUUGGUCAAGUUUUCUAUCUCUUAAGUUUAAGGAACAAAGAACUGAACUUCAACGAAUACAUUGAGAUCAAACCUCCAUUUUAAAUUCAUCUUCUCCCUGUUUCCCUGCUUGAUCCAUGAAUUUCACUGCAACUUUCCUUCCAUCAUUGAGAACUCCACGGUAUACUGACCCAAAACCACCAUGCCCAACCAUAUUUGACUUGCUGAAACCACCAGUAGCUGAAUGUAGCUGCUUAAAAGUGAACACCUGAAGUCCUUUCUCGGUAGCAACUUGCAGAUUCUCAAAGCUCCCUUUUUCCUCGUAUUUAUCCUCUUAAAAGACAAUUGAAUCAACAAGCAUACAUUAAGCCAAUGUUCCACAAAGGGAGAUAUCAGGAAUUCAACAACCAAAUUGAUGAUGUAGAAAAAAAUAAUGCCCUAGCUAAACUAAAAUAACAAUAUUUCUUAACAUUGAUGAAACUAACCAUAAAUAUGACAGAAAACAAACUAACCAACACAAAUCUACAUUGCUAUGAACCUUUCUGUUUAUGAUACAUUUGAUCUUAGGGGCUUUCUAAGUUAGGCAUUUUGGGCUUUGAGUUCACGCUAAAUACAAAUGAGAAGCUUCUAGUUUUAGGUAUAAUAAACACUAACUGCUUAU